rnacentral:rRNA from 1 species
CACGUAGGGGGCAAGCGUUGUCCGGAUUUAUUGGGCGUAAAGAGCUCGUAGGCUGUUCGGUAAGUCGGGUGUGAAACCCCCAGGCUCAACCUGGGGACGCCACCUGAUACUGCUGUGACUCGAGUCCGGUAGGGGAGCGUGGAAUUCCUGGUGUAGCGGUGAAAUGCGCAGAUAUCAGGAGGAACACCAGCGGCGAAGGCGGCGCUCUGGGCCGGUACUGACGCUGAGGAGCGAAAGCGUGGGUAGCAAACAGG